rnacentral:rRNA from 1 species
CGUUUCCUACGGGGGGCAGCAGUGGGGAAUAUUGCACAAUGGGGGGAACCCUGAUGCAGCAACGCCGCGUGAGUGAAGAAGUAUUUCGGUAUGUAAAGCUCUAUCAGCAGGGAAGAAGAUGACGGUACCUGAGUAAGAAGCCCCGGCUAACUACGUGCCAGCAGCCGCGGUAAUACGUAGGGGGCAAGCGUUAUCCGGAUUUACUGGGUGUAAAGGGAGCGUAGACGGCGAGGCAAGUCUGGAGUGAAAGCCCGGGGCUCAAC